rnacentral:lncRNA from 1 species
CAGUAAAAAGUUUUCUCUAUGGAAUAUAUCAUUUCAUCUCCAACAUAAAACACUCAAGAAGAGACUGAGGCAGAGCAAGGAAACUUGGACCCAAAUUGUCAGCCUCUAAAUAUCGUCUAGCCAAGAUAGAUUGAAUUA